CAUGAAGCAUAUUUGGCCCCAAACACCAGAAACCUUAGUAACAUGUGCAAUCAGACCAACUGAAAAUCUAUUAUUUUCUCUGAAAAUCUAUUGUCAAUUUGAAUGGAACAGAAUAAACAUUUUUUCUUCUGUAUUCAGAGUAGAAACAGGCUUAUUAGACAUUAUUUUUUCUUAAAACCAGAAUAACCACAGACAAAAGAACCUGUAAAAAACUACUGAAAGCUUUGAGCUGUGACAGAUGUGGUAUAGACAAACCAACAGACACUGGAAACUUAAUAAAAUUUAUGGUCUAGUAAACAUCUGUUUGGAAAAAAAAAAUGCACCAUGUAUGCACCAUUGAUAAUCAGGUACAGAAUAAAUAUUUUAACAUAAUUCUCCAAUUAUAGAAAUGUAAAGAUUGCUUCUGCGGAACGUUAUAUUGAGAUAAAUCAACUUAAAAAAAAAAUAAAAAUCAAAUGACUGAGCAAUUAAACCUAUUGUUCAAAGCACGUAUUUCAGUGUAGUGGCAUCAACCUUUACACUGUCUCUCAGCAUUCCAAUAAACUAGAAUACCUUUGCUUUGCUGUUAUAAAUUAACUUAUUCACAGAUUGCCUGCAUGAGUUUUAUGUUUGAAGAUAACAUCUGAGUAAUAGAUCACUAUAAGUAUUCACACAUUUUCUCAUGUUAGAACAACAACAAAUUACUUGGGGCGAAGGGCAGCAGUGAUAAAAGAAGCUCCACUGAGGGCAAAGGGCCAUGUCCAUGAGUGAUUUCAGGCACCCAAAUCCAACAUGUAGGUCUUCAAGACCUCUGUCUCCACUUGUGUGCUAGCAGAAGCUGUUUGUUUGUGCUCAAAUAUUUUUUUUAUAUUUUUUUAUGCCAUAUUUACUUAAAAUAUUCUGCAGCAUGAUAUAGGUGGAGAUGUGUGAAAAUCACUAUUGCUGCUGGUGCAUGUGCCACUGUUUUUUGGGUUAUAGAGCCUAAUUUUGUCAGCACAGGUCAAAUACAGUCUCUGAAUAGAGAAAAAUAAGCCAGGUCCAGUGCAGAAAUAAUACAAGUGCUAAAGAAAUCACAGCUCACAGAUUCACUGGCCUGAGACAUUGUUAUGCAUUUAUUCCAUAGUGAUUGGACUGAGCACAGUAAUCUCCACAAAACCACUCAAGGUAAACCUAGAUACACCACAGAGAUAAAUGUCUGUCUCUCUGUCAUGAACUUUUGACAUUAGAAAACAUGCAUGCUGUCAUUUUCAUUAGUUUUUAAACAAAAGCAUGGUUGGAAGAGAGAUACAGUGACUCAAUUUCUUCCCCAUGAUCCACAAAUCAAUGCACUUUCUAAAUCUGUGUAAAACACCAUGCUCAUUUUCCACCUUCUCAACUCCCACCAUGAGAGUUCCCUACUUCCCAGGUUAUGAACUAUUUCAAAGUAAAUGAGAAGAAUCACCCAUCCCUUCCACAACUGCAGAGAUUGCAGCUUUGUUCUUCAAAGCAAAGAAGCUUUAUUUACCUAAUUUCCCUCGGAGUUAGGGGAAGUAUCCUAAACACAUAGCAACAGAGUUACUACCUGAAUUUUCUUAUCCCUUCCUAGGCCUGUGGGUACCCCCUGCAACACAGAAUAGCUUGAACAACAGAUUAACCUGAAGCCUGGUAGUUCAAGCAUCUCCUUCUCCAACUUCAUAAAUACACUUUUCUUUUUCCAGCUACUUCUCAUGAACACCCAUUUGAAUAUCUUCUGCAGUUAUUUUACAGUGCAGUGAUGGCCUUCUAGCUAGAUCUUAUUCUAAUAGAUGUGUAAACUACAUUUCUGUAUUUUGUGGCAUGUCAAACUUGAUGCAUAAGGAAGUAAAUUCAGAAGUAAUAGAUUGGUUACACCUGGCACAGGGGAAGGACCAGAGUUCAAACAAAGAUACUGUUGAGGCUGUUAUAAAAGUUAUCAUUAAUAUAAAUAAAGAUGGGAGGUUAUCACAGCCUCUGAGCUAUAAACAGCAUAAUAGAAACCAAUGCAAUAAAAUCAGAAAGAAAGUCAAAGCUUUCUUCAAACCCUGGAUACAGGGAGACGUUUUAUGGUGGAGUACUCAAUGAAAUGGUUUCUGAACUCAGCACCAAGGACUAAAAGAGUAUUUAAGCUAUGUGCUGAAUUAAAACAUUUCUUUUCUGAGCAUCAAAACAAACCUGUGCAAACAAGAUAGUUUUGAAACAACAAGCUGUACAGUCUCCCUUCAAGCUUUCAAAGGUAUCAAUCUAAGACUGGACAAUACUAGCUCUGCUUAAAGUUUUUUUUUUUUGUUUUGUUUUGUUUUUUUCCUUUUCUAAUAAAACUUUGCAACAAUUUCCCACAGCAGUAAAUAGUUAAUAAAUGUCUCCUUUCUUUCAGCAUUUCUAUCUUCAGCAAUCCUGUGGCUGGUUAAUCAACAUCUACUAGCUUUCCAUACUCUUGUCUUUCUAUUCUGCAAUCCUAGCUUCAUCUAGGACACCGUCAGUGAAUAAAGAAAUCAAGACAGACACUAACCUGCUACAUGAGCUUAGGGAAAGCCUAAUGUUCCCAGAUUCUUGUUAUUCUGAAAACCACUAAUGGAAACCACUACAUAAGAGUUAUUUCCUAAGCAGAUACCUGUAGGUUUAAAGCUCUGCUGGUUACAGUAUUAGGAUAAGUCUAAAGCAGGACAACAACUCUUGCAGGAGAAAAUUUAUAAAGGAAUGAAGAGACACCGGGGUGGGAUUUUGGGUUCUGUCAGGCUUUCUUCGGCGUUGCUCAGAGCACAGAUUAAAGGUGAUCCUUAACUCUAAUCCUCUGAAAUCUGCUGCCUAGUAUUCACCAAGGAAAGUGCAGAUUUAGGAAUCAUUUAUUUUACCUCUAAUUCCAGAGCAAGUACCCCUGUGUUCUAAUCUGUACCUGGCCUUCCAUUUUUUUCUGGUGACUGUAUUUUGAUUAUUUUUAAUUAUUCCUAAUCGCCGAGGGCAAAAGACAAGGUCAGAUUUACAAAAAGGCUUGCAGUUGCAACCAGAGGAAAACUAUUUUCCUCUGUUGUGAUAAGUGCAGCACUUAAUGUGGGGUGACUGGUUCAAAGGUUGUAAUUAAAGAUUAAAGUGAUCUGCAUGACAUCUAUCAUGGCGUGCUUGUUCCUGGGGCAUGGAACCAAAAGAGAAGAGGAACGUGCUUUAGUGAACACAAAAAGCAGAAACUGAGAAGGUGUCCAAUGAAGAAGCAUCAUGAGACUUUGAAUCAUAAUCAUCAAUGUAAAUCACCUGAUCAUAUCUGUAACUGCUGCUCUUCAAGCUAGGAAAUGGAUGUCACCAGAGUGAUGAGAAAUAAACAUUACCAAGAGGGAACAGCAGCCCAGGAAAUGCUUUGCACCAUCCACCUUUUUGCUGUUUCUGCCUUUGGAUUCUUUUAGUGCUCCGGGAAGGAUAAAUGCACUUAUGGAGAUUAGAGGGGAAGAUCCAAUACUUUCAAGUGAAUGGACAGAGAGAAGGAAAAAAGUUGUUACUCUUACAGUAAAUUAUUUGAUGCUUUCUUCAUUUCUUAUGACUUUUGAAGUAACACUUGGUAUAGAAGCUAUAGCCACUCUUUCUGCAUGUACAUGUUAGUACAUGACAAAAUAAAACAUAUCAACUAUUUAAUGUCUUCAUUUAUUAGCACUGGCUCAGGAAGAUAAAUACUCAGUCUUAGUUUUUUGUUGUUGUUGUUGUUUGUUUGUUUUAUUCAUUGAUGCUCUUGAAACAAUUCCUUUGUGAUAAAAAGAAUUCAAUUUGAAAGUA